AUAUAAAAACAGACACACAUAAACACUGCCACACAUGCAGAUACACAGACAUACAUAAACACUGACACACAUGCAGAUGUACAGAGACACAAACACAGCUAUUCUUGCAGAUGUACAAACACAUGCAGAUACACAGACAGACGCUGACACACAUGCAGAUACACAGAAGCAAUUACUGCCACACAUCUAGAUACAGAUACACCCACUGCCACACAUGAAUGUGCAC